AUUGAACGCUGGCGGCAGGCCUAACACAUGCAAGUCGAACGAGUGGCGGACGGGUGAGUAAUGUCUGGGAAACUGCCUGCUGGAGGGGGAUAACUACUGGAAACGGUAGCUAAUACCGCAUACCAUCAGAUGUGCCCAGAUGGGAUUAGCUUGUAGGUGGGGUAACGGCUCACCUAGGCGACGCGCCCUAGCUGGUCUGAGAGGAUGACCAGCCACACUGGAACUGAGCCACGGUCCAGAGUCCUACGGGAGGCAGCAGUGGGGAAUAUUGCACAAUGGGCGCAAGCCUGAUGCAGCCAUGCCGCGUGUAUGAAGAAGGCCUUCGGGUUGUAAAGUACUUUCAGCGGGGAGGCGUUACCCGAAGAAGAAGCACCGGCUAACUCCGUGCCAGCCGCCGCGGUAAUUC
rnacentral:rRNA from 1 species